GUGUUCACUUCAGCAGCACAUAUACUAAAAUUAGAAUGAUACAGAGAAAUUAGCAAAGCCCCUGUGCAAGGAUGACAUGAAAAUCUGCAAAAAGCUCCAUAACAAC